rnacentral:rRNA from 1 species
UACGUAGGCAGCAAGCGUUGUUCGGAGUUACUGGGCGUAAAGGGUGCGUAGGCGGUUGUUUAAGUUUGGUGUGAAAUCUCCCGCUCAACUGGGAGGGUGCGCCGAAUACUGAAUGACUAGAGUGCGGGAGAGGAGAGUGGAAUUCCUGGUGUAGCGGUGAAAUGCGUAGAUAUCAGGAGGAACACCGGUGGUGUAGACGGCUCUCUGGACCGUAACUGACGCUGAGGCACGAAAGCGUGGGUAGCAAACAGG